UCCCUCGUGGUCUAGAGGCUAAGGGUCCUGCACUCUCACCGUCACAGCCCGGGUUCGAUCCCCGGGCAGGGAA